rnacentral:lncRNA from 1 species
CUUUGCAUGGGGACACGGCAUACCACGAUAAAGGACUCGAAGAGACCGCCUUUACAACUCCAGGGAAAGCUGUUGACACAGACUCCUGGUUCUGCUUGACAUCUUUCUUCUCAGGAUAAGCGGGUUCCACGUCUCAACUUAUGAAAAACACUAGCAGCAAGGGCUCACGUCUUUUGCUUUCUUUCAUGUUAAAUGAAAUUCCAAAGUGAUUUUUAGAUGCAGCCACAACGCGACCUUAUAGAAAGAUCUUGAAAUCCGACGUAAAGACCUUUUCUAUUGGUGAAGGCAGCCAUGCGACCGAGGAAUAAAAUUACGUUCGGCUGGAAACAGGGACUGAAGCGGUUUGUCCUCCCUAAGACGUUUCUAGCAAACGCAGGAGUUGGACGGCCUUGUCUGUAAUGUGCUGACCGUCCACCUAGGGACAAUGUGACCAUUUGGUUUUUGGCUGCUAUCUGAAAUGAGUUUGAGUGUCUCAGCUCAUUUCAUGAGAAACACAAAUAAAGGCCACAUAAUAAAAC